rnacentral:rRNA from 1 species
UAGGGAAUCUUCGGCAAUGGAUGAAAGUCUGACCGAGCAACGCCGCGUGAGUGAAGAAGGUUUUCGGAUCGUAAAACUCUGUUGGUAGAGAAGAACGUUGGUGAGAGUGGAAAGCUCAUCAAGUGACGGUAACUACCCAGAAAGGGACGGCUAACUACGUGCCAG